rnacentral:rRNA from 1 species
AUACGUAGGUGGCAAGCGUUGUCCGGAAUUAUUGGGCGUAAAGCGCGCGCAGGCGGUCCUUUAAGUCUGAUGUGAAAGCCCACGGCUCAACCGUGGAGGGUCAUUGGAAACUGGGGGACUUGAGUGCAGAAGAGGAAAGUGGAAUUCCAAGUGUAGCGGUGAAAUGCGUAGAGAUUUGGAGGAACACCAGUGGCGAAGGCGACUUUCUGGGCGAUACCUGACGCUGAGGCGCGAAAGCGUGGGGAGCAAACAGGAUUAGAUCCCCUGGUAGUCCACGCCGUAAACGAUGAGUGCUAAGUGUUAGGGGGUUUCCGCCCCUUAGUGCUGCAGCUAACGCAUUAAGCACUCCGCCUGGGGAGUACGGUCGCAAGGUUGAAACUCAAAUGAAUUGACGGGG